AUUCCGGAGAGGGAGCCUGAGAAACGGCUACCACAUCCAAGGAAGGCAGCAGGCACGCAAAUUACCCAAUCCUGAUACAAGGAGGUAGUUACAAUAAAUAACAAUACCGGGCUCUAUGAGUCUGGUAAUUGGAAUAAAUACAAUCUAAACCCCUUAACGAGGAUCCAUUGAAGGGCAAGUCUGGUGCUAGCAGCCGCGGUAAUUCUAGCUCCAAUAGCAUAUAUUUAAGUUGUUGCAGUUACAAUGCUCGUAGUUGGACUUUGGGAUGGGCCGGCCAGUCCGCCUUAGGUGUACACCGAUCGUCUCUUCCCUUCUGCCGGCGAUGCGCUCCUGGCCUUAAUUGGUCGGGUCGUGCUUCCGGCGCUGUUACUUUGAAGAAAUUAGAGUGCUCAAACCAAGCCUACGCUCUAUAUACAUUAGCAUGGGAUAACAUUAUAGGAUUUCGGUCCUAUUACGUUGGCUUUCAGGAUCGGAGUAAUGAUUAACCCGGACAGUCGGGGGCAUUCAUAUUUCAUAGUCAGAGGUGAAAUUCUCAGAUUUAUGAAAGAUGAACAACUGCGAAAGCAUUUGCCAAGGAUGUUUUCAUUAAUCAAGAAUGAAAGUUGGGCGCUCGAAGAAGAUAAGAUACCAUCCUAGUCUCAACCAUAGACGAUGACGACCAGGGAUCGGCGGAUGUUGCUUUUAGGACUCCGCCGGCACCUUAUAAGAAAUCAAAGUUUUUGGUUACCGGGGGGGAGCAUGGUCGCAAGGCUGAAACUUAAAGGAAUUGACGGAAGGGCACCACCAUGAGUGGAGCCUGUCGCUUAAUUUGACUCAACACGGGGAAACUUACCAGGUCCAGACAUAGUAAGGAUUGACAGUCUGAGAGCUCUUUCUUUAUUCUAUGGGUGGUGGUGCAUGGCCGUUCUUAGAUGGUGGAGCGAUUUGUCUGGUUAAUUCCAUUAACGAACGAGACCUGAGCCUGCUAAUUAGCUAUGCAGAGGUGUCCCUUCGCGACUAGAUUCUUAGAGGGACUACGGCCUCUUAGGCCGCGGAAGUUUGAGGCAAUAACAGGUCUGUUAUGCCCUUAGAUGUUCUGGGCCGCACGCAUGCUACACUGAUGUAUUCAAAAAGUUUAUAGCCUUGUCCGACAGGCUCGGGUAAUCUUUGAAAUUUCAUCGUGAUGGGGAUAGAUCAUUCCAAUUGUUGGUCUUCAAUGAGGAAUUCCUAGUACGCGCGAGUCAUCAGCUCACGUUGAAUACGUCCCUUCCCUUUGUACACACUACCCGUUGCUCCUACAGAUUGAAUGAUCUAGUGAAAUGUUUAAAUCGCGGCGACAUUGGCGGUUAGCUGCCCGCGACGUCACGAGAAAUCCAUUGAGCCUUAUCAUUUAGAGGAAGGAAAAGUCUUAACAAGGUUUCCAUAGGUGAACCUGCAGAAG
rnacentral:rRNA from 1 species